AACAACAUACUCGAAACCAAAUGAUCUAACCAUGAACAGAAUGAAGCUAAACUAAACAUUUAGUGGAGGUUCGAACUAAUUGGUGGUGCAAAAUCAUUGGAUGAUUUGUGGUUAGAGGUGAAAUUCCAUUCGAAUUUGGAUAUAGCUAGUUCUUCCUGAAAUAUGUUUUAGCAUAGCUGUUUUUUUUUAUUUAUAAGGUAUGAUUUUAUUUUUAAAAUAGGGUUUAGAAUUUGUAAAUUUAUAUAAAGAAGCAAGUCGGACUAUAAGGGUUAAGCUCUAUAGUCAAAAGGGAAACAGCCCAGAUUUGUAACUAAGGUUUAAAAAUGAGUUUUAAGUGAUUAAAGAAGUUAUUUACUAAGACAAUUAAAAAGUUGGCUUGGAAGCAGCCAUUCUUCUAAUAAGUGCGUAGUAGCUUAUUAAUUGAGAUAAUAAUUUUCGAGUAUACAAUAUAAACUAAAAAUUCUACCGAAGUUCAAGAAUGGUAUUUUUUUAUACCAUUGGUAAGGAAGCUUUUUAUUUUAUAAAAUAAAAGAGAUAUUAUUGGUUUUAGUAGCGAAAAUAUUAAUUUUUUAAUACUCCGAAAACCUAAGGGUUCUUAAAAAAUAUUUUUAAGGUUAUUCAAUUUACUAAUAUAAACUUUAAAUUUGUUUAUAGAUGUGCUAUAGUUUAAUUUUACUAUAAAAUUUUAUAUUGAUUUUUAAUUUUAUAUAUAAUACUAAAAAAUCUUAUAUUAAUUAUUAUAUUAUUUUUUUAGUAUAUUUUAUUUUUACUGGAAAAUUUAUAAAAAUAGAUAUAAAUUUAAUUGUACCUUAGUCUUACAAAAGUAGGUUGGUGUUUUUUGUACCAAGGAGUUUUCGAAAUAAAUCUUUUUAAGGAACUCGGCAAAUUUACUACGUAACUUAGGGAUAAGUAGUUUCAUUUUAUAAUAGAAUGAUUAUAGAUAAAAGACCCAGACGACUGUUUAACAAAAACAUAGGUUUCCGCUAAAUUAAAAGUUUUGUAUGGAAGUUGAUGCCUGCCCGGUUUUGUAAAUAUAAUUAAGUAUUGUUAUAUAAGCUUUAUUUAAAAAAAGCAUUAAACGGCGGCCGUAAAUGUAACGGUCCUAAGGUAGCGAAAUCCGUUGUCGGGUAAAUUCCGACCAGUAUGAAAGGCUUAACGAUUUGGGUACUGUCUCAAAAAGAUUUUCGGCGAAUUAUUAUAAGCCUGUGAAGAUACAGGUUUUUCUUACCAGGACGGAAAGACCCUAUGAAACUUUACUGUUUUUAAAAGUUGUUUUAGUAGCUAAAAUAUAAAAUGAGAGCUUUUAAAAAUAAAGCGUUUGAAUCUUUUUGUUUUUCUUCUAUAACUAAUCAUGCCCGUAAUAAGUAAUGAAACAUCUUUUAUUAGACAGUUUAUAUGGGGCGUAGGCCUCUGAUAUAGUAACGGAGGCGAACAAAGGUUCUAGCGCACGAAAAAUGUUUACAAAAUUAAGGUUCUAUCAGAGCUUUACUGUGUGACUUACAAGUCUAACAGAAACUAAAGUUGGUCCUAAUGAUCCGGUAUAACUUUGUGGUAUAGUUUAUCGUUUAUCGAAUAAAAGUUACUCUAGGGAUAACAGGCUAAUCUUAAAAUAGAACAUUCAUUUGUUUUAAGGUUUGGCACCUCGAUGUCGGCUUAUUACAACCUAAAGCUAUAAGGGGUUUUAAGGGUUGGGUUGUUCACCCAUUAAAGUAAUACUUGAGCUGGGUUCAGAACGUCGUGAGACAGUUCGGUCCAUAUCCGGUAGGAAUGUUGGAACAUUGAAAUAAUUUUAUUCGGUACGUGAGGAGCAGUAAAAGUGUACCUAUGGUUUAUUUUUUAUUUUUUAUAAAGUAUUUGAAAAUCAGCUAAGUACAUCAAAAGUAUACAUUGAAAGAAUAAAA
rnacentral:rRNA from 1 species